rnacentral:rRNA from 1 species
UACAGAGGGUGCGAGCGUUAAUCGGAAUUACUGGGCGUAGAGCGUGCGUAGACGGUCAUGUAAGUCGGAUGUGAAAGCCCCGGGCUCAACCUGGGAAUUGCAUUCGAGACUGCAUGGCUUGGGUGCGGAAGAGGGAAGCGGAAUUUCCGGUGUAGCGGUGAAAUGCGUAGAUAUCGGAAGGAACACCAGUGGCGAAAGCGGCUUCCUGGUCCGACACCGACGUUCAGGCACGAAAGCGUGGGGAGCAAACAGG